GGUGUUGGCCAAACUAAAAAGACUCAGCCCAAAUUGGGAGUCAACUAAGUUGACUCAACCGGGGGUGAGGAUUGGAAUACCUGCAAGUCAAAGUGAUCUAAAAGGCUUAAAAGUCCGGUCGAUACUGGCUAAGGUGUGGAUUCCACAUGGAACCCCUAGUUGACAGGGCAUUAGUCAACAAAACCAAAGGCUCACAAAGAGCCAUUUAUCGCGUAUCUGAGGGCGAAUGGAGGGAGUACAAUUGUGAUGCUUGAGAGAGAGGAGUUCAUUUGAAACUCAUUCUUCUCUCUCUUAAUUGUUGAAUGCUCUCAUCUCUUUCUCUUCAUUCAAGAUAAAAACCAUGUCAUUCCUAAUUUUCCGAUGAGAGAUGAAUAAUGGAGGUGGCGCCUAUGAAGUUGCAUAGAGUCACCACCGUCAAAGUCCACUGUAACUCUAUCAACCAUCGAAGAUAUGUUAUUUAAUGUCCCCAAUCCAAAUCCGCACCAAAAAAUUUAAGAAAAAUAACCUAAAUCUCUCAAACCAUUCAAACAGAGCGUGAACCCUAGCCUUAAAUUUAAAUCAAAACCAAGCAGAAAAUUAGACAAUAGGCAUGGGGGGAGGAACAAGCAUCAACAAAACGUCACAUAUCAUACAAAAAACCACAUGAAAAGAGCUUAGGGAUACCUAAAUGAAGAUUGGCGAUUUCUGGCGCGACAGAGAGAUUUCUGGCACGGUGGUCUUUCACGUUCAGGUACGUUUUUCCACUAUUUUUCCUUUCCCGACUCUGAUUCUACUCCUUCUCUUUCUAUGCUUGUGGUUAUUGAAUUCUUCUAUGGUAUUAUUUUGCGAGGAGAGUUCUCGCUCAAGAUUACACAGAGCUCUAAUGAGGAGCUCUAGCAACCUUAGGUUUAGAGCUUUUAGUGGAAAAUGGUCCUUCUUGCUAAUAAUGGACAUGGUUGAAGAGUAAAUUGGAGAAGAAGAUGGGUUGAUGAUGAAGAUUAGCAUUAAGUCCUUAUUUUUGAACCAUGGCUUCAAGAUGGAGUUUUUUUUUGUGAUGAAGAAAUAUGGCUUGGUGAACAAGCUUCAACAUUCAGUAGCAUCAGGUAUUUUUGUUGUUGUAGAUAUGUGAUUUUCCAUUCCAAGAUGUAAAAAUAGCUCAAAAUGGAACAUCAUGGUAUUGUAUCUAAACUCUUAUGUAAUUUCCAAAUGCAAAGCAAUUCAAUUUAUAAGUUUUUUCCUUAUUA